GAUGAAGAACGUAGCGAAAUGCGAUAAGUAAUGUGAAUUGCAGAAUUCAGUGAAUCAUCGAAUCUUUGAACGCACAUUGCGCCACUUGGUAGUCCGAGGGGCAUGCCUGUUCGAGCGUCAUUACACCACUCAAGCUAUGCUUGGUAUUGGGCGUCGUCCUUAGUUGGGCGCGCCUUAAAGACCUCGGCGAGGCCACUCCGGCUUUAGGCGUAGUAGAAUUUAUUCGAACGUCUGUCAAAGGAGAGGAACUCUGCCGACUGAAACCUUUAUUUUUCUAGGUUGACCUCGGAUCAGGUAGGGAUACCCGCUGAACUUAAGCAUAUCAAUAAGCGGAGGA
rnacentral:misc_RNA from 1 species